UGCUGGGCGUGCGGCCCUAAAAAGACAAAAUAAAUAAAUAAAAAAGAGGUGAAGUAAUUGCCCCUUAUACUUGUCCUUGUAUAAGUAGGUGGGAAGGUGGAAUUUGAGGAAAGCCUGGUUCUACUAUUUCACGUGUUUCCAUCUGCUUCAAGCUGGCCUUUCAUCUUCCAAAACAGGUUCAGCAGAGCUCCUAAUUUUGUAAAAUAGAGUUGGCUUUAGAGUUCAACAAAUGAUUGCAUUGUAACAUUUAUUCUUUUUGUUGUGCGGAUCGCUGCGUGUGGACAAAAUGAUACCUGCUCACCGGCUGUAAACAUUUGGGACAACAUAGAGCGCAAAGUCAGAUUGCUACCGCCCCAUCCCAAUCCCUUCCGGACCUGCCCCAUUCCAUCCCCCAACGGGUCCCCUGACGCAGGAUACUCCAAAGUGCUCCGAGUCGAAGGGGCUCCGCUGCCAUCCCAGCUGGAAGCUCUCGGAGGCUCACGAUGUGCGCGCUCACAGGAAAGGAUCUGAGAUGUCCUGUGGUAGACGCACCUUUUGUCUUGAUGCCAUCUCAUGCUCCGGAUCCAGCUUGUCCACGGAAUGCCUUAUCCCGUAAUGAGGGUUCGCGUGCCUUCCAGAGAGCAAAUGCUGGCAAGGCUGCGGCACAUGCUGUCCUCACGAGACCUGCGCCCAGCUGACAGGUAUUGAUCAGGCAGAGACUCUGGCCGGGCGCCGCUGGGCUCUGCAGGCUCAGGGCUGAAGGAGGCAAAGCCCUGAUCCCACAGUGCCCACUUUUUAUGCUGAGCUUCUCCAACAACACAGCCUUGUUUUCUACAAAUUAUGAUCGUUUUUGUCUCCCAGUGUCCAUGACUGUUUUCAUCUUCUUGUCUAAUUGCUUGAUCACUUUUGGAACUAUGUUACACAAGAGCAGGGAUAAAAGACACUCCUAACUCUGUGGCUCUAAUGGAAUGCUUGUGGCAUUUUUACAAUAAAUUCUGAUGGUAAUUUUUGGAUUGAAAUGUGUGUUGUCUUUAUAAGGAGGUGUCCACCACUUCCAUUUCAAGGAUCAGAAGUGGAUACUAAAUUUCAUGAAAUAUCUUUAUGGCUUGUAAGAAAUGGCUGCAUGAUGUUUUCCCUUGUCCUAUUAAUUUGGCUGAAGUAUUUUUAAAAGUUUCCCAAAAGGAACAGUUCCUGGAUUGUGCAGAUUAUCAUGGUAUGUUGUUUGCUUUAUUUGCUAUCUCUUGGUUCAAACUUUGGCAGAGACCUUGAAGUACCUUUCCUGCGAUAAUCUAUGCCAGCUGUGGCUUCCAGGUUAUGCAGGGCUUCAUAAAAUAGUCAAGUGAUUUCUGUCUUUCUUGAUGCCCUGGAAUUGCUGAAAUAGUGUAGGGAUAAUCAGUUCCUUGAAGAUCUGAGAAAAUAAGACUCUGGCAAGCAGCAAUGUAUGCCCUGCUAAUGACGGUGUAAACUGUUUCAGCCACUUUGGAAAGUGAUUUGUUAAUAUCUAGUUAAGUUGAAAACAUUGAUAGCGUAGAAUCCCACACCACCACACCUCUAUCUGCACCCCUGGAGAAGCUCUCUCACACAAGGAGAGAGAUGCCAGCAUGUUCACUGCAGCACUAUUUUGGUUAACGAAUUGAAAAUGACCUAAAUGGUCUAACAGGGGACUGGAUAAGGUAACUUAUGCGAUAGAUCAAUCUGUGGCAGCUGAAGCGAUAAGAGUAAGAUCUCCCCUGUCAACCUGGAAAGUUCUCAGAAACAAAAUAUGAGGGGGAGGGAGAAGAAACAGAAUAAGAACAUGCCUAUUUUAAUACAAUUGGCAUAUAAAUAACACAGGAAACAAUACUAUAUAUGAUUUUUGGAUGCCCAUAUAUUAUCAACAGUACAAAAGAGAAGGAUAUUCACACUUUUAAGAAUCUGGCUUUCAGAGUUCCCUUGCGGCACAGCAGGUUAAAGAUCUGGCCUUGUUACUGCUGUGGCUCGGGUGGCUGCUCUGGCUUGGGUUUGAUCCCUGGCCCAGGAACUUCCACAUGCUGUGGAUAUAGAAAAAAAAUCAGUUUCCGCUGGGGAGGGAAGGAGAGGAACAGAAAUGGUACUUGAAAUGUCUUGGUAUUAUUUUAGUCACUAAAUCUAAAAGGUCUGCUGUAAAUACAGAACCACCAUGCCACCUCCUAAAGCUGAGCAGUAAGACAUGGGUGUUUGUUAUACUAACCACACUUCAUUUAAGGCCUUACCUCAUCCUGUGGCCUUUAUUAAUUUUGACCUGGUUUCUCCAUUAAGGGCUAAGGGGAGGGGGUCUUUCAAAGUCACCUGUUAUGUCUCUUUGCAGUUCUCCCAUUUAUGCUUUUUUCGAAACUGGAGACGGGGGCCGGGCAUGAUGACUGUUACUCUCUGGGGACCUUGACCUGGAUAACCCAGUGCCCACAGCAGGUGUGCCAUAAGCGACGGACCAGGGCCUCCUCCUCAGCAUCGCCACCGCAGCUCUAGAGCUUCUCCCAGCUUCUCUGCACCACCUGCCCGGGAUGAAGCCCUUGGCCUGUGGUCAGGUCCAGGCUUAGGCGGAAGCAGCACCCUGUGAGGAGUCAUACGCAGACCCCUGCACUUGCUGGCACCCUGUACGCCACUUGCUGCUCUGCCGACUUGCAAUGCUGAUUCCCAGGUUACUCGUCGGGGCUGUCCCACCGGGUUACCGGCAAUAAGGGCGAGCACCUUUGCCCCCUCGUCCGUUCUGCCUGUGGAACCAGCCCACACAGCGUUUCUCCUUCUCCUGGGCAGCCCGCGGCCCACGCCCCGGCCUUCCCAGCUUCUCUGUGAGCUGACGCGACGUGUGUCCCUGGCAGCCUCUCACUGUGCUCCAGUUCUGACUGCAGCGAGUGGACUUCUGUCAGCAGUCCACGAAGGAGCCAUGCUUUCAUUUGGGAACUCUAAGCCUCAUCUCUCUAGAAGGAGUUUCAGUGACUUCUCUUGUCAAGAGGAAAAAUUGCCAGACACCUGAAGGAGCACUGCCCUGACUCCUGUGGCAAGAGAGAGGUAAACUGUAGCCACUCAACCAAGGGACGGUGGAGUGCCCUCUCCCGGGGCCUGGCCGGGGUCCCUGUGCCACACUCAGCAGCAGCAAAUAGAUGGAGAUUGGCGCCCGCAUGGAGAGCCGCCGGGAGGGUCCUGUGGGUCAGUCUGCACUGGAGUGGACGAUGGACCUGGUACCGUCUGCUUGGGGAACUUGCUCUGCUGGAGGCCUCCGGACGUUUGCCUCUGGGGCUCAGACCGGAAGUCGUCCUAGCGGAGCAGGUGAGCCGCUUCUGGGGCAGGGAGGACCUUGAUGGUGCAGAGGGGCCCGGAAGCCCUUUCAGGGAGGCCCACCUGCACUUCACAGUGUCAUCCUGGUGCAAUGACCCCGUUCAGCGUGUUUAUUCAGUUACGCUCGCCUUCCCUCCUGCCCGGGACUCCGUCCCCCAACCCCCGUCCAAGGGGGAGGCCUCCCCAGCGGAGCUUCAAGGGAGCCCAUCCUCAGGGACACACGAGGGCCCAGCGUGCCGGGUGAGAGUGGGACAGGAAGGAACGGUGGCUGGUGGGUGAGGUAGGCCAGGCAAAGCCAGCUUCACAGGAGAGUUUUAGUCCAUAAUUAAUAGCAGUGGGCCAAGCAGAUGUGACAUUAGGAAGAUUUAAUUAGAACAUGCAACUUAUUUAUAUGUGUAAUUGGAUGCCUGGGGGUAGUAAUAAUGCACUUUCACAAUACUUCUAACCGAGGAGAAAAAAGAGCUUGUUUCGAGUCAUGAAAUGGGAUUAACGGUGAACAGCUGCUGCAGAUGCUGGGCUGUCAUUUUUGCAUCCUGAAGGCCACUUCUGUCGUGAAGGUGCCUGGCAGGUAUUUAUGAUAUUUGCUAUUAUGGACUUUUCUGAUGAGAUUAAAUGUUAGGGCUUUCAAGACUUCACUGGAUGGUUGCACAUUCAAUCCCAGAACGAGGCUACUCAGAUUGAAAGUGGCUCUUCCAGGGAGUUCCCACUGUGGCUCAGUGGUUAACGAAUCUGACUAGGAACCAUGAAGU